CUACUCGGGUUGCCUCUGCUGUCAUUAGGAUCUAAGGCACCCUGCUGAGGCCGCGUUAUUGUAAAGGGACAGACUGGUACAGACGCCCUGGCUGUCCUGGAACUCACUCUGUAGACCAGGCUGGCCUAGAACUCAGAAAUCUGCCUGCCUCUGCCUCCCAACUGCUGGGAUUAAAGACGAGCGCCACCGCCCGGUUUGCCUAGCACAUUCUUGCACCGUUAUUAUUUGCGGAAGAAAGGGAUAUGCACACAAUCCCCGUGGUUAUCUAAGUAGAUUUGAGGCAGGAACGAAGAAAGAGGAACAGAGCUAAGGUGGGCUUCAGGAGGAAGGAUUUGGAUUUACAUAUUGCUGUGAAAGAUAGGAAAGUGGCCAAUGUGCACUUUGGUGAUCCCGGAGAGAUGGAGAGAAGAGAUUAUCUCGGUCCAAGGAGCUGGGUGUGUCCUGUGGGACAGUCAGGAAGAGGAGCCUGCUUCUGAAGUCUGCUUUCCUGAGAUUUAUUUAUUAUUAUAUCUAAGUACACUGUAGCUGUCUUCAGAUGCACCAGAAGAGGGCAUCAGAUCUCAUUAUCUUUGGAAGAGCAGUCGG
rnacentral:lncRNA from 1 species